rnacentral:rRNA from 1 species
CGUAGGUGGCAAGCGUUGUCCGGAUUUACUGGGCGUAAAGAGCGCGCAGGCGGUCGUUCAAGUCGCGUGUGAAAGCCCCCGGCUCAACUGGGGAGGGUCACGCGAUACUGAUCGACUGGAAGGCAGGAGAGGGUAGUGGAAUUCCCGGUGUAGUGGUGAAAUGCGUAGAUAUCGGGAGGAACACCAGUGGCGAAGGCGACUACCUGGCCUGUUCUUGACGCUGAGGCGCGAAAGCUAGGGGAGCAAACGGG